GAGGUAAUGGCUCACCAAGGCGACGACGGGUAGCCGGCCUGAGAGGGUGACCGGCCACACUGGGACUGAGACACGGCCCAGACUCCUACGGGAGGCAGCUGUGGGGAAUAUUGCGCAAUGGGCGAAAGCCUGACGCAGCGACGCCGCGUGAGGGAUGAAGGCCUUCGGGUUGUAAACCUCUUUCAGCAGGGACGAAGCGCAAGUGACGGUACCUGCAGAAGAAGCACCGGCCAACUACGUGCCAGCAGCCGCGGUAAUACGUAGGGUGCAAGCGUUAUCCGGAAUUAUUGGGCGUAAAGAGCUCGUAGGCGGUUUGUCGCGUCUGCUGUGAAAACUGGAGGCUCAACCUCCAGCCUGCAGUGGGUACGGGCAGACUAGAGUGCGGUAGGGGAGAUUGGAAUUCCUGGUGUAGCGGUGGAA
rnacentral:rRNA from 1 species